rnacentral:misc_RNA from 1 species
CGUUGGUCAUGCUCGCUUCUUGUCCUGCUCAGGCUUGGCGCCACCGCUACCUCCCUGUGCUGCUCAGCGCUCGCCACCACCGCUCCGUAUCUGGCUAUUUGCCCAGCUCAGCGCUCGUGCUCGCCACUCCAGUGCUCCAGCUCGUUGUCCUUGCUCACUGUCCCUUUGCUGCUCACGCUCGCCACUGCCUCCCUUUGUCGCCCCUGCCCCUGCUCUCAUCCUUCUCCCCUUUCCUACUGAUCUGCUCACAUUCUCCUCUGAUUUUGGUUAUGAUGAUGAAGCAACAAACAAUAGUGUUGGCUACGGUGAUGAGCACGACAAAGACAAGAAUGAUGGUGGUAUAGAUGAUUUGGAUGAUGGUUAUUGAGAUAUGAUAAGGGAGAUUGAGUAACGCUUGUGUGCUUGCAGUCGUGGACAUUGCAUUCCACUUUAGU